rnacentral:rRNA from 1 species
UACGAAGGGGGCUAGCGUUGUUCGGAUUUACUGGGCGUAAAGCGCACGUAGGCGGAUCGAUCAGUCAGGGGUGAAAUCCCAGGGCUCAACCCUGGAACUGCCUUUGAUACUGUCGAUCUGGAGUAUGGAAGAGGUGAGUGGAAUUCCGAGUGUAGAGGUGAAAUUCGUAGAUAUUCGGAGGAACACCAGUGGCGAAGGCGGCUCACUGGUCCAUUACUGACGCUGAGGUGCGAAAGCGUGGGGAGCAAAGCAGG